UACCAGCACCCCGAGUGGUCGGGACGUUUAUUGGGCCUAAAGCAUCCGUAGCCGGUUCUACAAGUCUUCCGUUAAAUCCAACUGCUUAACAGGUGGGCUGCGGAAGAUACUAUAGAGCUAGGAGGCGGGAGAGGCAAGCGGUACUCGAUGGGUAGGGGUAAAAUCCGUUGAUCCAUUGAAGACCACCAGUGGCGAAGGCGGCUUGCCAGAACGCGCUCGACGGUGAGGAUGAAAGCUGGGGGAGCAAACCGG
rnacentral:rRNA from 1 species